AGUGAACGCUGGCGGUAGGCCUAACACAUGCAAGUCGAACGGCAGCACAGGAGAGCUUGCUCUCUGGGUGGCGGGUGGCGGACGGGUGAGGAAUACAUCGGAAUCUACCUUUUCGUGGGGGAUAACGUAGGGAAACUUACGAUCAUACCGCAUACGACCUACCGGUGAAAGGAGGGGACCGCAAGGCCUCACGCGAUUAGAUGAACCGAUGUCAGAUUAGCGAGUUGGCGGGGUAAUGGCCCACCAAGGCGACGAGAGGUAGCUGGUCUGAGAGGAUGAUCAGCCACACAGGAACUGAGACACGGUCCAGACUCCUACGGGAGGCAGCAGUGGGGAAUAUUGGACAAUGGGCGCAAGCCUGAUCCAGCCAUACCGCGUGGGUGAAGAAGGCCUUCGGGUUGUAAAGCCCUUUUGUUGGGAAAGAAAUCCUAUCGGUUAAUAACCGGUGGGGAUGACGGUACCCAAAGAAUAAGCACCGGCUAACUUCGUGCCAGCAGCCGCUGUAAAAC
rnacentral:rRNA from 1 species